rnacentral:rRNA from 1 species
CCUACGGGAGGCUGCAGUGGGGAAUAUUGCUCAAUGGGGGAAACCCUGAAGCAGCAACGCCGCGUGAAGGAAGAAGGUUUUAGGAAUGUAAAGCUCUUUUGUGAGGGAAGAAAAUGACGGUACCUGAUUAAUAAGCACCGGCUAACUACGUGCCAGCAGCCGCGGUAAUACGUAGGGGGCAAGCGUUAUCCGGCAUUACUGGGCGUAAAGGGUGCGUAGGCGGGGUUGCAAGUCAGAAGUGAAAGCCCGGGGCUCAACUCCGGGACUGCUUUUGAAACUGUGUGACUGGAGUGGAGGAGAGGUAAGCGGAAUUCCUGGUGUAGCGGUGAAAUGCGUAGAUAUCAGGAGGAACACCAGUGGCGAAGGCGGCUUACUGGACUGUAACUGACGUUGAGGCUCGAAAGCGUGGGGAGCAAACAGGAUUAGAUACCCCAGUAGUC